UUCUAAGGCAUAAAACAAUGAUGUAGCUGCUGCAGUUAUUAAGGAUCGUGUGUAUCAAGGGAUGGGUUGGUUUUUGUUUCUUUGCACGUCAACUCAUUAACAUCUGGCAAAUUCUACUAUCAUGCAGAACUGAUGUUCCCUGCUGCUUCAAUUACAAAUGUGUAGUUUCUAAGCUGUUUUAUGUUAUCAGCCCCUUCUUGAGUUCACAAAUUUUCACAUCCUGUUACCAGACACUUCCUGAAGCAAAUACUGCGGUGACUUGCACAAAUAAUAAAAGAUGUAUCUGCUUUAGGAAGGUGAAAAGAAAUCGAUCUGCUGGGAACAGUAUCACAGCUACAAAGUUUUGAUGUCUGCAGGAGGAGAACAAUUGCAUCAGUGUGCACCGUCAGCCAGGACUUGUGACUGCUGGGGGGUUGCUAGGAUACCUCUCUAAAAGGUUGAUAUAAAAUAGAAGCUCAGUAGAUGGAGACACUUCACACUGAAAUGUAUGCAACAGAGUUCUGACAAAGGAAGAUAUUUUACUCCAUGCAAAGUCAAAGUCAGCCAAGUACGGAUGACACCUGAUCUGGCAGUGUGACAUUUCCUUCCUUGAAUAGGAUAGCAUAGCCCUAGAGUGCAGGCUGCGAAGGUUUAGGAGUCAAGCAGGAACAGGAAAUUAACUUGCAGAAGAUAAAGGAAUGGCAUUCUCGCGUUCUCCAGCAGG